rnacentral:rRNA from 1 species
ACGUGCCAGCAGCCGCGGUAAUACGUAGGUGGCAAGCGUUGUCCGGAAUUACUGGGUGUAAAGGGAGCGUAGGCGGGAUGUCAAGUCAGAAGUGAAAAUUAUGGGCUCAACUCAUAACCUGCUUUUGAAACUGAUAUUCUUGAGUGAAGUAGAGGCAAGCGGAAUUCCUAGUGUAGCGGUGAAAUGCGUAGAUAUUAGGAGGAACACCAGUGGCGAAGGCGGCUUGCUGGGCUUUUACUGACGCUGAGGCUCGAAAGCGUGGGGAGCAAACAGGAUUAGAUACCCUGGUAGUCCACGCUGUAAACGAUGAUUACUAGGUGUGGGGGGAUUGAACCCUUCCGUGCCGGAGUUAACAC